rnacentral:rRNA from 1 species
AAUGAACGCUGGCGGCGCGCCUAAUACAUGCAAGUCGAGCGAGAAGACGUAGCAAUACGUUUGUAAAGCGGCGAACGGGUGAGGAAUACAUGGGUAACCUACCUCGAGUGGGGAAUAACUAGCCGAAAGGUUAGCUAAUACCGCGUACGCUUCUUGGACUUCGGUUCAGGGAGGAAAGCGAUACCGUGGGUAUCGCGCUCUUGGAUGGGCUCAUGUCC